UCAGUGAGUGAAACAGAGGAAUGACCCAUAUAAGGCUGAAUUGAAGAAAAAAAAAAACACUGAUCAUGAUGACGUCAAAAAAUUCUCCUGAUCUGGAUGCGUCAAUGGCUGGUUAUGUGCGUAAUGAUGAAACGCCGGAGCCAACUGGAUACUGAGAUCCCACAGUGCUGGCUCAGCAACCAAAGCACCUCAGCAGCAAGGUCAAUUACCAUACCCUCUGCGGGUCAAUUAUGCCACCAGAAGCAAUGAUUUGACUACUGCCACUGUGGAAAAAGAAUCAAAUCAGGAUGUCGGCCACGGCUGCCAGCAGUGCUUCUGUCUUGUGCACAGGCUCUGUUGACCCAAAAAGC